rnacentral:rRNA from 1 species
AUUGAACGCUGGCGGCAGGCCUAACACAUGCAAGUCGAACGAGUGGCGGACGGGUGAGUAAUGUCUGGGAAACUGCCCGAUGGAGGGGGAUAACUACUGGAAACGGUAGCUAAUACCGCAUACCAUCGGAUGUGCCCAGAUGGGAUUAGCUAGUAGGGGGGGUAACGGCUCACCUAGGCGAUGAUCCCUCGCUGGUCUGAGAGGAUGACCAGCCACACUGGAACUGGGAAACGGUCCAGCCUCCAACGGAGGGCGGCAGGGGGGAAUAUUGCACAAUGGGCGCAAGCCUGAUGCAGCCAUGCCGCGUGUAUGAAAAAGGCCUUCGGGUUGAAAGGUACUUUCAGCGGGGAGGCGGUACUCGCAGAGAAAGCACCGGCUAACUCCGUGCCAGCAGCCGCGGUAAUUC